CCUACGGUAGGCAGCAGUAAGGAAUAUUGGACAAUGGCCGCAAGGCUGAUCCAGCCAUGCCGCGUGCAGGAUGAAGGUGCUCUGCAUUGUAAACUGCUUUUGUUUGGGAAUAAACCCUUCUACGUGUAGAAGGUUGAAUGUACCAAAAGAAUAAGGGACGGCUAACUUCGUGCCAGCAGCCGCGGUAAUACGAAGGUCCCGAGCGUUAUCCGGAUUUAUUGGGUUUAAAGGGUGCGUAGGCGGGUUAUUAAGUCAGUGGUGAAAGCCUUCAGCUCAACUGAAGAAUUGCCAUUGAUACUGAUGAUCUUGAGUAUGAUUGAGGUGGGCGGAAUGUGUCAUGUAGCGGUGAAAUGCUUAGAUAUGACACAGAACACCGAUUGCGAAGGCAGCUCACUAAGUCAUAACUGACGCUGAUGCACGAAAGCGUGGGGAGCAAACAGGAUUAGAUACCCUGGUAGUCCACGCCCUAAACGAUGAUCACUCGAUGUGUGNGANACACGUGUACGCGUCGUGAGAAGAAGACGUUAGUUAAGUAGUUAGUUCCGACCGUUGGGGAGGUUACGGACCGGACGAGGUUAGGAACGUUACGAAGGAAGUUAGACGGCGGNGAGAGNGACGACGACGACACGAGGGAAGGAAGG
rnacentral:rRNA from 1 species